rnacentral:misc_RNA from 1 species
AAAUGAAAAAAAAAAAAGAAGAAAUAGGGAAAUAAAGAAUUAUCAUUCACCAAGAAGUCACGAUUGCAUUUUCAGCUGGUUCAACACCAUACACCUAGGCAUCAAUAGAGGGAAGAACAUUACACGCUUAAUCACUAUUCUUAAUCUCUCUCUUUCUCUUUUACACAUACUCCCAGACAGCCACAAAACAGGCCUUAAUCUCUGGGGUUUUCUCCUAGAGAAAUUUCCCAGCUCCAGUUACAGUACCACCAGUCCCAACCAACAAUGAGUUUCCUGCAUUUUCAGGCAUCUCUGCCAGAUUAAUUGCUGCUGCAGCACUAGAAGGUAUACCAACCAAUAAACCUUUCAGCUGGGCAAGA